rnacentral:pre_miRNA from 1 species
GUUCCCUGCCCAAAAUGAGCUUAUAGUUUAGAUUCUACUACAUUCUAGAAUCUAGACUAUAAGCUCAUUUUAGGCAGGGAAU